rnacentral:rRNA from 1 species
UACGUAGGGUGCAAGCGUUGUCCGGAAUUAUUGGGCGUAAAGAGCUCGUAGGCGGUUUUUCGCGUCUGCUGUGAAAACCCGAGGCUCAACCUCGGGCCUGCAGUGGGUACGGGCAGACUAGAGUGCGGUAGGGGAGAUUGGAAUUCCUGGUGUAGCGGUGGAAUGCGCAGAUAUCAGGAGGAACACCAAUGGCGAAGGCAGAUCUCUGGGCCGUAACUGACGCUGAGGAGCGAAAGCAUGGGGAGCGAACAGG